AUUUAUUAAAUUAAAAAAAUAUUAAGUUUCUAAUAAAAUUUAAUAAUUAUAAUUUAUUAAUAAUUA